rnacentral:tRNA from 1 species
GGCCCGGUAGCCCAAUCAGGCAGAGGCAACGGCUUUAAAAGCCGUACAGUGUGGGUUCGAAUCCCAUCCGGGCUACCA